AUGCUUCUCCUAAAGACUAAGCCAUGCAUGUCUUCGAAUAAGAGGAAGCAAUUCUCUCUGAAUCUGCGAACGGCUCCGCAAACCAGUUGUAAACUAUAGCAAGCAAGUCCGUGCUCCUUCGGGGGUGCGGGCAACAUCGGAUAACCCUGGUAAUUCUGAGGCUAACACAAGAACGUACUCCCCGGCCGACUGGGUAACUGGAAAGUCGGGAGGUAUGUGAUUUGGCACGAGGAACUGCUGGGAAUGGGAC
rnacentral:rRNA from 1 species